rnacentral:rRNA from 1 species
CCUACGGGUGGCUGCAGUGGGGAAUAUUGGACAAUGGGCGCAAGCCUGAUCCAGCCACGCCGCGUGAGUGAUGAAGGCCUUCGGGUUGUAAAGCUCUGUGGGGAGGGGCGAAAACGGCCGGUAAGAAACGACCGGUCCUUGACGGUACCUCCUUAGCAAGCACCGGCUAACUCUGUGCCAGCAGCCGCGGUAAUACAGAGGGUGCGAACGUGGCUCGGAAUUACUGGGCGUAAAGCGGUAAUUCGGGGAUGAAAUCCCCGAGCUCAACUCGGGAACUGCAUUUGAAACUGCUCGUCUUGAGUACCGGAGAGGGUGGCGGAAUUCCUGGUGUAGAGGUGAAAUUCGUAGAUAUCAGGAGGAACACCGGUGGCGAAGGCGGCCACCUGGACGGUUACUGACGCUGAGACGCGAAAGCGUGGGGAGCAAACAGGAUUAGAUACCCUAGUAGUC